rnacentral:tRNA from 1 species
GGGUUUGUGGCUCAGUGGUAGAGCACUUGCCUAGCAUGUGUGAGGCCCUGGGUUUGAUUCUCAGCACCA